rnacentral:rRNA from 1 species
UACGUAGGGGGCAAGCGUUGUCCGGAUUUAUUGGGUGUAAAGAGCGUGUAGGCGGCCUGACAGGUCUGCUGUGAAAACUCGAGGCUCAACCUCGAGAUGUCGGCGGAAACCGUCUGGCUAGAGUCCGGAAGAGGAGAGUGGAAUUCCUGGUGUAGCGGUGAAAUGCGCAGAUAUCAGGAGGAACACCGGUGGCGAAGGCGGAUCUCUGGGCCUUACCUGACGCUCAGGUGCGAAAGCUAGGGGAGCGAACAGG